UACGGGGGGGGCAAGCGUUGUUCGGAAUUACUGGGCGUAAAGGGCUCGUAGGCGGCCAACUAAGUCGGACGUGAAAUCCCUCGGCUCAACCGGGGAACUGCGUCCGAUACUGGAUGGCUUGAAUCCGGGAGAGGGAUGCGGAAUUCCAGGUGUAGCGGUGGAAUGCGUAGAGAUCCGGAAGAACACCGGUGGCGAAGGCGGCCCGCUGGGCAGUGACUGACGCUGAGGCGCGACAGCGUGGGGAGCAAACAGG
rnacentral:rRNA from 1 species